rnacentral:lncRNA from 1 species
AUGCAGAUACGGCGGAGUCACGUGCCAGGGGCUGGGACGACUUCCUGUUGGAGGCCAACGCGGGGCGGGGAAGGGGGCGCGAGCGCCCCGUCUGGCUGGAGCGGGGGGAGGGGGGGUUCUUGUCAGUUAGAGCAACAAGAUGGCCGCGGUGGCAGCUCCGCACCUCAGCGCGACGGCCCCGGGAGCCACAGCCGCCGCCGCCGGCCCCGCCGCCCCGCAGCCCUGAGCGCCGCCCCGGCCGCCCCCACCGCCCCUGACAGGGCCGUCCCCGCGCUCGCCUCGUUCCUGCCGCCGCCGCUGCGGGCCCGCCGGAGCCGGAGGCGGAGGGAGCGGAGCCGGCCGAGCGCAGAGCGCCGAGCGCCGCCGCCGCCGCCUCCUCGGAUCCCGGGCCGCGCCGGAGCCGCCGUCCGCCCGCGGGCGCGAGGAGGAGGGCGCGCUGCGGCGUCGCCGGGGCCGGACCUGGACCCACCGGGACGCGUCGCCGCCCACCCGCCUGCGCCGCCGCCGCCGCCCGCACCGGGACCUGAGCCCGCGGCGCCGGCGUUGAGCGGGCCCCCGCCGCCCGAGCGCCCCGCAGGCCCCGGGGCGGCCGCCCGAGUGGUUGUCGCCGCCGCCGCCAGGCCCGCGCCGCCGGAGCCCCGCCGAGGAGCCGCCGCCGCUGCCGGGGACGGAGCCCAGGUGAGCGCGGGCAGGGCCUCCGAGCCGCCUCAGCCGGCCGAGCUGUUGGCGUCGCCUUUGUUCGGCCGGCCCGGAGCGCGAGGGGUCGCGGGUCCCGGCGGGAAGGGUGCGCGGCGCGGGGCGGCGGGAGGAGCCGCCUGCGGCGCGGGGCCCGGUGCGUGCGCGCGCGGGGAGAGGUUCGCCGGGCCCGGCGCGGUCGGAACGGUCGGCGCGGCGACCGGGCGGUUGCGUGUGUGGUGUGUGCAGCCGAUGCGGUUGGUGGAAGUGGCUUUCCCCGAGCACGCAUCCGCGGGUGUUGCAUUUCUGAAGGCAUGCACGAACCCAGCGUUUUCGGUGUGGGGCCUCCCGCGCCCUUGUUUGGGGGAGAGCAAACGCGGGCGUGCUCGGGCGAGCGCGGCAGGGCCCCUCGGCCUCCCGCGGGUCUGGAAUCAGGUGGGCUGCUCGCCGUGCUGCAGGCUGCGCGGCGAUGCUCACGAGGAACGCGAGCCGAGCCGCAGUCGCCUGGCUCUCGGAGCACGGAACCCGAGCGCCUCUGGGCCACCUCCGCUCGAGCGGCGCCUCGUCUGCACCUUGGCCUGGUGGAUGAGAGUUGUUAAUAGGUUGGUGCCUAUUAACGUGCAGAUGCAGAUGCAGGGUUCCCUGCGCGUUCACCGGGCGGAGAGCCGAGCGGUUCGCUGCAGGUCGCUCGGAGCUUUGGGAAUCUCACGGAAGAUGCAGGAUCGCUGCCUCGACCUCGCGGGCGGGGGAGGAGGAGCCGGAGGUCCUGGCUGCUCCUCCUGCGGUGGCAGGCACGCCACAGCCUCGGGGAUUCUGUAG